GCUUAACACAUGCAAGCCGAGGGGCAGCGGGGAGGAAGCUUGCUUUCUCCGCCGGCGACCGGCGCACGGGUGAGUAACACGUAUGCAACCUGCCCCUGUCAGGGGGACAACCCGCCGAAAGGCGGGCUAAACCCGCGUACAUGCCACCGGGGCAUCCCGGAGGCAGGAAAGGCUUCGGCCGGACAGGGAUGGGCAUGCGGCGCAUUAGGCAGUAGGCGGGGUAACGGCCCACCUAACCGACGAUGCGUAGGGGUUCUGAGAGGAAGGUCCCCCACACUGGUACUGAGACACGGACCAGACUCCUACGGGAGGCAGCAGUGAGGAAUAUUGGUCAAUGGUCGGGAGACUGAACCAGCCAAGCCGCGUGAGGGAUGAAGGUACAGAGUAUCGUAAACCUCUUUUGUCAGGGAACAAAGGCGGGGACGUGUCCCCGGAUGAGUGUACCAGAAGAAAAAGCAUCGGCUAACUCCGUGCCAGCAGCCGCGGUAAUACGGAGGAUGCGAGCGUUAUCCGGAUUUAUUGGGUUUAAAGGGUGCGCAGGCGGUCUGUUAAGUCAGCGGUCAAAGCCCGGGGCUCAACCCCGGCCCGCCGUUGAAACUGGCAGUCUCGAGUUGGAGAGAAGUAUGCGGAAUGCGCGGUGUAGCGGUGAAAUGCAUAGAUAUCGCGCAGAACUCCGAUUGCGAAGGCAGCAUGCCGGCUCCACACUGACGCUGAGGCACGAAAGCGUGGGUAUCGAACAGGAUUAGAUACCCUGGUAGUCCACGCAGUAAACGAUGAAUGCUGGCGGUCCGGGGGGGAUUGACCCCUGGGUGGCGAAGCGAAAGCGAUAAGCAUCCACCUGGGGAGUACGCCGGCAACGGUGAAACUCAAAGGAAUUGACGGGGGCCCGCACAAGCGGAGGAACAUGUGGUUUAAUUCGAUGAUACGCGAGGAACCUUACCCGGGCUCAAACGGGGAGUGACUCAGGCAGAGACGCCUGUUUCCCACGGGACACUCCCCGAGGUGCUGCAUGGUUGUCGUCAGCUCGUGCCGUGAGGUGUCGGCUUAAGUGCCAUAACGAGCGCAACCCCCGCGUGCAGUUGCUAACAGAUAACGCUGAGGACUCUGCACGGACUGCCGGCGCAAGCCGCGAGGAAGGCGGGGAUGACGUCAAAUCAGCACGGCCCUUACGUCCGGGGCGACACACGUGUUACAAUGGGUGGUACAGCGGGAAGCCAGGCGGCGACGCCGAGCGGAACCCGAAAUCCACUCUCAGUUCGGAUCGGAGUCUGCAACCCGACUCCGUGAAGCUGGAUUCGCUAGUAAUCGCGCAUCAGCCAUGGCGCGGUGAAUACGUUCCCGGGCCUUGUACACACCGCCCGUCAAGCCAUGGGAGCCGAGGGCGCUUGAAG
rnacentral:rRNA from 1 species